rnacentral:misc_RNA from 1 species
GAUGAAGAACGCAGCGAAAUGCGAUACGUAAUGUGAAUUGCAGAAUUCAGUGAAUCAUCGAAUCUUUGAACGCAUAUUGCGCUCUCUGGUAUUCCGGAGAGCAUGCUUGUUUGAGUAUCAGUAAACACCUCAACUCCCUUUUCUUUUUUGAAAUGGGAGCUGGACUUGAGUGAUCCCAACACUUUUCUCACUGGAAAGUGGCGGGUCACUUGAAAUGCAGGUGCAGCUGGACUUUUCUCUGAGCUAUAAGCAUAUCUAUUUAGUCUGCCUAAAAAACAGAUUAUUACCCUUGCUGCAGCUAACAUAAAGGAGAUGAGUUCUUGUGCUGACUGAUGCAGGAUUCACAGAGACAGCUUUGCGGCUGACUUUGUAAACUCGAUCUCAAAUCAAGUAAGACUACCCGCUGAACUUAAGCAUAUCAAUAAGCGGAGGA